UGUCCAGCAACUCCUAUCCCUACUUCCUCGUGGUACUGGCCGGGGUACGAGUAACCUUGGGGAAGAUCGGGUAACCAACCCCCGGUGGGAACUUUGGUCGUAUGCUGACAGGGAAGG
rfam:Aedes aegypti strain Liverpool supercont1.536 genomic scaffold, whole genome shotgun sequence.